rnacentral:ncRNA from 2 species
UAUGAAUAAGAUUAAAACACUCAUAUAAGUCCAGUAAUAUGGUCUGGAUGUUUCUACCAGGCGACCGUAAAUUGCCUGACUAUGAGUGGAAUUAUUAUACUA